CAGGCAGCUUCGUCGCUUGAAAGCUCUCCCAAACAUGGACGCUGAGUUUUGAAGCUGCAGUUCUGGACUCUACAUGCUCGGCAGGCACCUUGCUGGGUUGAGAAGUCUCCCUCAGGCACCUCCAUCUUUGUGUUGUCUCUAAAUCCUUGUGGAGGAGACCUCUGUGAAUCCUGAAGUUUCAGCUUUCCCAGAAACGUGAAGAUCUUUACUUUCUGAGUCUCGUGAGCCUCCCUCUAGGAAGAAAUGUUUCCCUAAACAGCAGUUACCAGGAUAUCCUUAGGGCAAGUCUUUAAAGACCACUGACCAGAUGUGAGCAGCGACCUUACACUCUUACCAACACACAUUCCCCAGCAAAAUGGACCGUGCCAUCAAACUGUGAGCCCAAAAGAAGUUCUUUCCUCCUUAA